UACGGGGGGGGCAAGCGUUGUUCGGAAUUACUGGGCGUAAAGGGCUCGUAGGUGGCCAACUAAGUCAGACGUGAAAUCCCUCGGCUUAACCGGGGAACUGCGUCUGAUACUGGACGGCUUGAGUUUGGGAGAGGGAUGCGGAAUUCCAGGUGUAGCGGUGAAAUGCGUAGAUAUCUGGAGGAACACCGGUGGCGAAGGCGGCAUCCUGGACCAAUACUGACACUGAGGAGCGAAAGCCAGGGGAGCAAACGGG
rnacentral:rRNA from 1 species